AUGGCGACCAUACUAGAAGCUCUCGUUCGAUCAUGUGCCAGUAAGUUGCAAGAUAUCGUUACCAAUGAGGCCAUACUAAUCUUAGGGGUGGAAGAAGAGCUUGCAGAACUGCUGCGACGAGUUGAACUAAUUCAGUGUUGUAUAUAUGAUGCUGAGAAAAGGAGGGCAAAAGAGCUAGCAGUAAACAAUUGGCUUGGCCAACUGAGAGAUGUCAUAUAUGAUGUUGACGAAAUCCUAGACGUGGCUAGAUGCAAAGGAAGCAAGCUACUACCUGAUCAGCCUUCAUGGUCAUCAAAUAAAUCAGCUGCAUGUAAUGGCCAUUCAGUUUUCUCUUGCUUCUGUAACAUCUGUCCACGCCAUGAUGUUGGUGUUCAGAUUAGAAGUCUCAACAAGAAGAUAGAGAACAUUUUGAAGGACAGCAUAUUCUUGACAUUCGACAGUAGUGCACAAUCUACUGGAAGUGAUUCAACAUCUAAACUGAUAAGAAGCUCCAACCUUAUUGAGCCCAACCUUGUGGGAAAGGAAAUCAUACAUUCUAGCAGGAAGUUGGUGGACUUGGUGCUCGCAAACAAGGCAAAAAAAAUCUCACAAAUUCGCUAUUGUUGGAACCGGAGGAGUCGGUAA
rnacentral:rRNA from 1 species